GACAGAGGGGGCAAGCGUUGUCCGGAAUCAUUGGGCGUAAAGCGCGCGUAGGCGGCCCGGUAAGUCCGUUGUAAAAGUCAAAGGCUCAACCUUUGAAAGCCGAUGGAUACUGCCGGGCUAGAAUCCGGAAGAGGCGAGUGGAAUUCCUGGUGUAGCGGUGGAAUGCGCAGAUAUCAGGAGGAACACCAACAGCGAAGGCAGCUCGCUGGGACGGUAUUGACGCUGAGGCGCGAAAGCGUGGGGAGCGAACAGGAUUAGAUACCCUGGUAGUCCACGCCGUAAACGAUGGGCACUAGGUGUGGGAGGUGUCGACUCCUCCCGUGCCGGCGCUAACGCAUUAAGUGCCCCGCCUGGGGAGUACGGCCGCAAGGCUAAA
rnacentral:rRNA from 1 species